GACGAACGCUGGCGGCGUGCCUAAUACAUGCAAGUAGAACGCUGAAGCGAGGAGCUUGCUCUUCUUGGAUGAGUUGCGAACGGGUGAGUAACGCGUAGGUAACCUGCCUUGUAGCGGGGGAUAACUAUUGGAAACGAUAGCUAAUACCGCAUAACAAUGGAUGACACAUGUCAUUUAUUUGAAAGGGGCAAUUGCUCCACUACAAGAUGGACCUGCGUUGUAUUAGCUAGUAGGUGAGGUAACGGCUCACCUAGGCGACGAUACAUAGCCGACCUGAGAGGGUGGUCGGCCACACUGGGACUGAGACACGGCCCAGACGCCUAGGGGAGGCAGCAGUAGGGAAUCUUCGGCAAUGGGGGCAAACCUGACCGAGCAACGCCGCGGGAGUGAAGAAGGGUUUCGGAUCGGAAAGCUCUGUUGUAAGUCAAGAACGAGUGUGAGAGUGGAAAGUUCACACUGUGACGGUAGCUGAUCAGAAAGGGACGGCUAACUACGUG
rnacentral:rRNA from 1 species